UACAGAGGGGGCAAGCGUUGUUCGGAAUUACUGGGCGUAAAGGGCGCGUAGGCGGCCCGCUAAGUCGAACGUGAAAUCCCUGGGCUCAACCCAGGAACUGCGUCCGAUACUGGCAGGCUUGAAUCCGGGAGAGGGAUGCGGAAUUCCAGGUGUAGCGGUGAAAUGCGUAGAUAUCUGGAGGAACACCGGUGGCGAAGGCGGCAUCCUGGACCGGUAUUGACGCUGAGGAGCGAAAGCUAGGGGAGCAAACGGG
rnacentral:rRNA from 1 species